GACGUAGGGUGCAAGCGUUGUCCGGAUUUAUUGGGCGUAAAGAGCUCGUAGGCGGCUUGUUGCGUCGACUGUGAAAACCCGCGGCUUAACCGCGGGCUUGCAGUUGAUACGGGCAGGCUAGAGUUCGGUAGGGGAGACUGGAAUUCCUGGUGUAGCGGUGAAAUGCGUAGAUAUCUGGAGGAACACCGGUGGCGAAGGCGGCAUCCUGGACCGACACUGACGCUGAGGAGCGAAAGCCAGGGGAGCAAACGGG
rnacentral:rRNA from 1 species